UCCUACGGGGGGCAGCAGUGAGGAAUAUUGGUCAAUGGGCGCAAGCCUGAACCAGCCAAGUCGCGUGAGGGAAGACGGCCCUACGGGUUGUAAACCUCUUUUGCCGGGGAGCAAGCCUGAGCACGUGUGCCCAGGCGGAGAGUACCCGGAGAAAAAGCAUCGGCUAACUCCGUGCCAGCAGCCGCGGUAAUACGGAGGAUGCGAGCGUUAUCCGGAUUUAUUGGGUUUAAAGGGUGCGUAGGCGGACUGUUAAGUCAGCGGUAAAAGCCCGGGGCUCAACCCCGGCGAGCCGUUGAAACUGGCUG
rnacentral:rRNA from 1 species